CCUAUGGGGGGCAGCAGUGGGGAAUAUUGGACAAUGGGGGGAACCCUGAUCCAGCCAUGCCGCGUGUGUGAAGAAGGCCCUCGGGUUGUAAAGCACUUUCAGUGAGGAAGAACGCCUGGUGGUUAAUACCCAUCAGGAAAGACAUCACUCACAGAAGAAGCACCGGCUAACUCCGUGCCAGCAGCCGCGGUAAUACGGAGGGUGCGAGCGUUAAUCGGAAUUACUGGGCGUAAAGCGCGCGUAGGUGGCUUGAUAAGCCGGUUGUGAAAGCCCCGGGCUCAACCUGGGAACGGCAUCCGGAACUGUCAAGCUAGAGUGCAGGAGAGGAAGGUAGAAUUCCCGGUGUAGCGGUGAAAUGCGUAGAGAUCGGGAGGAAUACCAGUGGCGAAGGCGGCCUUCUGGACUGACACUGACACUGAGGUGCGAAAGCGUGGGUAGCAAACAGGAUUAGAUACCCGAGUAGUC
rnacentral:rRNA from 1 species